rnacentral:rRNA from 1 species
GACGAACGCUGGCGGCGUGCUUAACACAUGCAAGUGGGGCGACGAACCAGGCUUCGGCCUGGGGCAAAGCCGCGAACGGGUGAGUAACACGUGGGUAACCUGCCCCGAAGACCGGGACAACCCGGGGAAACCCGGGCUAAUACCGGAUGUGGUCAUCGUUCAUAAGGACGAUGAGCAAAGGAAGCUUCGGCCUCCGCUUCGGGAUGGGCCCGCGGCCCAUUAGCUUGUUGGUGAGGUAACGGCUCACCAAGGCUUCAUGGUAGCUGGUCUGAGAGGACGAUCAGCCACACUGGGACUGAGACACGGCCCAGACUCCUACGGGAAGCAGCAGUGGGGAAUCUUGCGCAAUGCGCGAAAGCGUGACGCAGCAACG